rnacentral:rRNA from 1 species
AUACGGAGGGUGCAAGCGUUACUCGGAAUCACUGGGCGUAAAGCGUACGUAGGCGGAUCAGAAAGUAUAGGGUGAAAUCCCAGGGCUCAACCCUGGAACUGCCUUAUAAACUCCUGGUCUUGAGUUCGAGAGAGGUGAGUGGAAUUCCAAGUGUAGAGGUGAAAUUCGUAGAUAUUUGGAGGAACACCAGUGGCGAAGGCGGCUCACUGGCUCGAUACUGACGCUGAGGUACGAAAGUGUGGGGAGCAAACAGGAUUAGAAACCCCAGUAGUCC